rnacentral:rRNA from 1 species
UACGGGGGGGGUAAGCGUUGUUCGGAAUUACUGGGCGUAAAGGGCUCGUAGGCGGCCAACUAAGUCAGACGUGAAAUCCCUCAGCUUAACUGGGGAACUGCGUCUGAUACUGGAUGGCUUGGAUUCGGGAGAGGAAUGCGGAAUUCCAGGUGUAGCGGUGAAAUGCGUAGAUAUCUGGAGGAACACCGGUGGCGAAGGCGGCAUUCUGGACCGAUACUGACGCUGAGGCGCGAAAGCCAGGGGAGCAAACGGG